CAGAGCAGAACGAAAAAAGACUUCGGCUAUUUCAUGUGUCGUGAAUUUUGUUCUCGAGUUAAUUUUUAUUAGUGAAUUUUAAUGCAACUUUGUUUUAUGGUAAAGAAUUCGAGUGCAUAGAAAACAAAAUAUUUAAAAAUACUUAUAAAUUGAAAACAUCGGAAUUUAAGUGGCAAAUUGGUACGCGAAUACACAUUUAAAAAGAUUUUAUAGUUGGAAAGUUUUUCAUUCUAAAAAAAACAAAACGCAAGCACUAAAAUUGGACUACAAAAAAAAAAAAGAAACAAAUAAACCAAAUUAUAAAUUCAAAACGAAACGUUUCAUCCACUCAUCAACACUUUGGGGCACGUCAAAUUCAAUUUUCUAACAUUUUCGGAUUGUGAAGUGCGUCCAUUGGAUUGGGUUUGGUUAAUCAUACAUUGCUGUGCAGGGACAUCGCACAUCACUCCCACUACAAUCACCACUACCAUCACCACCACAACCACUACUAUUACUACUACUCCAACCACAGCCAAUAGUGCCCAUAUAGGUGAUUUAAUCACCAUACAUACAUACGUAAUUAGGUUGCAGGACAUCAUCGUCAUCUCAGCGCUUUGUUUUGCAUAUUUGUGGUAGCGCAUAUUGUAAAUUGACCGAAACAAAUAAGCAGCCAUAAGUAGGCUUCAAUAAAAAUUGCUUACACAAAUCUAACCUGCAAAGAAAAAAAGAUUAAUAUUUAAAUUUGCAAACUGGGAGUCGCUUAUAUCGAUCAUAAACAAGCAAAUUGCUAAUUACACACACACGCACACAUAGUGCUGCUCACCACAAUGAGUUUGUGGAAGAGUAUCGUACGCUCUCCAGAGCUUGAAAAGCGCAUGACUCAGUACUACGAUGUCAAGGGCCUCGCCGAGAUACGCGUGCAAUUUGCAUCGUGGAUUGAAGAGUUCAUAAUGUCUCAUCACCAAUUGCCAACUAAUCAGAAAAUCUUCGAACAAUUAGUCAACGCAUUCUACGACGGACUGAAACAGAAGCUCAUUACAUUGGAUGGUGAUAAUUUGUUAAAGUUUAAAAUUCGUGAAAUUUGUGCGCAUCUCGCACGAACAACACCCCUCGAACUAUACACGUACAUUCGUAACGGUUUACUUCGCGAAAUUCAGGCGUUGAAGGAAGGAAUGCCACAAAAUCCCUACAUGUAUAAUACAGCACUUGUUGGUGGCCAUGUGAAUGGGAUCGGCGGCAUGAAUGCAGGUAAUCCCUAUUUGAGCGGUGUCGGCGUCGGUGUUGGCGUUAGCCACAUCGAUGAUGUCAAUAUGGCCGAAGAUGCGUACGCAUUGCCGUCGCGCAUACAGAAAUUAGCCGUCGAUGUUGAGAAUAUGCGUAUGGCCAUACACAAUUUCCAAGGUGAACAGGAUUCGGUAUACAAUUAUUUUAGUGAUUUCAAUCAAACACGUGCAAUGAUGUCGGCACAAGAUAUACAGGACCGUGAAAAUCAAUUUAAGGAACAGUAUCUCAUUUUGUCCGAACGCAAGAAGGUUGUUGUCACCGAUUUGCGACGCGUUAUCAACGAAUACGAUAUGAUACAGGAGCAAGUGAUAAUGGCAUUGAAAAUGUGGCAACGCAAUCAGGCUUUGGCUGGCAAUGGUGCACCAUUCCACGACAAUUUAGAUGAGAUACAACGUUGUAUAGAGAUGUUAGUGGAUAUGAUAACCAAAAUACAAUUAUACGUUACUAAUCUGCUCGCGAUGGGCGAUGAUCCGAUUCUGACAGAUUUGUUAAAUCACGUACGGUCUACACAAAAAAUUCUGGUAUUGUCGGCUUUUAUAGUGGAACGCCAGCCGCCACAAGUGAUGAAAACACAUACGAGAUUUGCCGCCGCUGUACGAUGGUUGAUUGGCCCACAGCUGGAGAUAUACAGAACUAAUCCAACUAUAGAAUGCGUUAUACUCUCAGAGGCCCAAGCUCAACGGCACGCUGCUCAUAACAGCACUACGGACAUGCAAACCGCCGCUCCACCGCAGUCUUCUGGUGAAAUUUUAAAUAACGUCAGCUCUAUGGAAUUCCAACAGGCUACACGAGUAUUCUCGGCCAGUUUUAGAAAUAUGCAAUUGAAAAAAAUUAAGCGGGCCGAAAAGAAAGGUACGGAGAGUGUUAUGGACGAGAAGUUCUCUUUACUCUUCUACACAACUGUCGUUUUCAACGAGUUCAAGAUAAGUGUAAGUGCUAAUGAAGUUUUGUUUUAUUUAAAUUAUAUAUUUAAUUUAUUUAUAAUUUAUAUUUUUGUCACUACUCGCUUUCAGUGCUGGACACUUUCUUUGCCAGUUGUUGUGAUUGUGCACGGCAAUCAGGAGCCACAGUCCUGGGCCACAAUCACUUGGGAUAAUGCAUUUUCCGAUAUUACGCGUGAACCCUUCCAAGUGCCAGAGAAAGUACGCUGGCAACAAUUAUCUGUGGCUUUGGAUACGAAGUUUGGUUCGGCGACAGGAAGAAAUUUAACCGAAGAUAACUUGAACUUUCUAUAUGAGAAACUUUUCCGCAACGAAGCUGGCGAGCAUAAUGAGUUCAUAACUUGGGCACAGUUCUGCAAAGAACCUCUACCAGAUCGAGCCUUUACCUUCUGGGAUUGGUUCUUUGCAAUAAUGAAAUUGACCAAGGAUCAUUUAUUGAAUCUGUGGAAAGAGGGUCUUAUUGUUGGAUUCAUAAACAAGCGCAAGACUUUGGAAGAAAUUUUACCUAUGCAACAAUAUGGCACAUUUUUACUGCGUUUCUCCGACAGUGAAUUGGGCGGUAUAACUGUGGCUUUUGUCGACGAUCAGGGUAAUAAACUUAUGCUGGCACCUUGGACGUCACGUGAUUUAAAUAUACGUUGUUUGGCCGAUCGCAUACACGAUUUGAACGUUUUGCGUACUGUCUUUCCAAAGAAUCUGGCACGUGAUGAGGCGUUUGGAAACUUCUACUCACACCACGUCGAACAAACAACACGUGAUGGCUAUGUUCCGAAUACGAUAAGGGCACACGUGCCGGCCAUAGAGGGCGGUUCCGUGGUGGGCACUCCUCAGCAUCAACCGCAAGAUAUAUCAAUACCUAAUUAUAUCGAAGAUCUUGGCAUCGAUUGGAAUUGCAUCUGAAAUGGGUGGGCUGUAUAUAAUUGGUAUAAUGAAUGGUCAAAUAUUUAGUGGAGUGUGUGCAACAUGUCAUGCAACAGUUGCUCAAGACUUUUAAGCAGUUUUAGUGAUUUUGAUUCAAUAAUUUAUGAUGGAUGCGGAUAGAUACAUACACACGCAGUGUUAUACAUAUAUACACACGUUUAACAAAUUGAUUGAAAGGAAAAAGGAAAGAAAUUAAUAACAAUAAAAACAACAACAACAUAAUCUAUACCAUAAAAUACAUUUUAACUAUUUGCCAUCAUAUAAAGCGUAUAAUUGCUUAAAAACUGCAGCUUUUCUAAGAACUUUAUGACUUUUACAAACGCAAGUGAGAGUCAAGUGUUCCUUAGUAAAGUAGGCCAGUGUAUUAGUUAUUAGCAAUCAUUAACCGUACACACAUCUGUCCACACAAUUAACUACUUCGUUAUUAAAUUGUCGAGCAAUAUUUUCAAAACUACGUUGAUGUGCUUAUUUAAAAAUUGGUGUCUCUGAGCGACUUGCAAGCCAUCGUUAAACACACAAAAGCAGUAAAGCAAAAUGCCACUAAUGGUUUGAAGGAAGCAUGUUCAAAAGCAAGAGAAAACAAAAACACAAAGAGAACGCGUUAUUGAAAUAUUCGACGAAGGGAUACUUUGCUGUUUUAUCAUUUUUGUACACUUUCAUGUCGUUAGUCGAUGCUGAAUAUGAUAUGAUAUUUACAUUUACCGUUGUGCAUGCUGUACCGCCUUGAAAUUAUAUAUUUAGUCUAUAUCUUCUCUCCAAAAACUUACGAAAAACAAAACAAUUUUUUUUAUAUUCUUUUUAUGAACACUAACUUUUUUACGCUCUUCGAAACACAUGUAACUACCGUUAGUGGUAAAUAACGUAUAGUUUGUAAAAGUAAGUGUAAUAGUUUUAUACUCGCCGUUGCCUUAUAUAAUUAUAUUAAAUUUUCACUUUUUUUGUGUUCUGUAAAUCUAUUUUUAAUAGUCAAAUGAACUUUUCAAUGUUGCGGGUGCUUGAAUACUUGAAUUCUCUUUAUCACUGGUACUUGUUGUUUUGUGGUUAACUAAAUGUAAUUGCAAAAAAAAAAAGUUAAAUAAAUAAUUACAAAUAACUGCAUGCCGUUUGGUGCAAAUCUAAAGGGUCCACAGCCUAAAAUUAAAUGUUGAAUUGAAUCAGUGAGGAUAUUUUUUUAUGAAAGUAAAAAAUACAAACGAAACAUGGAAAAUGAGAAAGUAAAGCAAAUCACUAACUGGUUACUAACCGGUUGCUAUGUUGUAUGUUUGACGAUAAGUGUGUAUACUACUUAGACGUAAGUGCAACUAAUUUAAGUAACGUUAAGUUAUUGAUUUAUACGCGUUUUUACAGCAGCAUAAACCCAACUGUGCUCUACUUGUGAGUCCAAAAACGAUACACGACUUGUCGCUAACUGUGUAUUGCUAUGUUAGUUGCAAGUCGCCAAAUUAUUUUACUUUGUGCAUAUGUCUAUAUUAUUUGUUAAUUGCGUAUUAAACAAUUUUAUUCUGUAUUUUUAUUUUUGUAUUAAAAAAAAUAAUUUUAAUUAAUUCGGUGCAAAGUAUUUCUUCAAAAUUUCACAUUUCUUUUAAAGAGUAUUUGAAUUUUUUUGCUCAUUUUUAUAUUGCUAUUAUUUAUAUUAUUAGAAGAAAAAGACUUUUUAGUUUUUUUCUCAACUUUUUGUUCACUUUGGGUCCAUUGUAGUCGCAAUACUUUGACGUGACCGCAUGUGCCGUUACUUGUAUUUUUUACUGGAAAUUUUUCAAAAUUUUCUUUGACACUUCACGCAUAUAUAGCAAAGUAGUACUUAUCUUAUUUAUAAGCAAAUAAUUCGUCGCUAAUUUUAAAUGUUCUCAAUAAACAAAACAAAAAAGAAGAUGAAGAAUAAAUCCUACAUUUGUAUGUGCAUUAAUUGCUUUAAAUUUAAUUAUUGAAUACAAUAAUUUGUGAUUCUUAUUUUACAAAAUUUAUGAUACAUAAUUAUAAUUGGCUUCCAUUUCAUGUCUCUACCAAUUAGCUUCUUAAGUUAAUUUCAUGUUAAGUUUUCAUUUUUGUAAAGUACUAAGCUAAAUAUGAGCGUUAUGCAGGAGAAGUUUUAUUAUUAAGCACUUUAAAAAAAUAAUAAAAAUAUUUGAAAAUAUUUGCAUUAAAUGUGGUGAAUUUUGAAACGAUUUUCGUGAACAAAAACGUGUUUAUUAGAUUAGAGAGUAAUGUUUUAAAAAUGAUAUACGUAAAUAUACAUUUAUUAACAACAGUUAGCGAUAUCAAUAUGCGCAGUUGCAUUUUGGCAGAAAAAGUAAGAAAAUUGUAUUCAAUUUGAGGUUAUGAUUUAAAAAAAAGUUGAAUUUGAAGUUUUGUCAAAAAAACCAUAUUGAGGUUACCAAAAAAAAAAAAAAAAAAUUUUGAGGUUA
rnacentral:misc_RNA from 1 species